rnacentral:rRNA from 1 species
UACGGGGGGUGCGAGCGUUGUCCGGAAUCACUGGGCGUAAAGCGCGCGUAGGCGGCUUUGUAAGUUAGAGGUGAAAGCCCGGGGCUCAACUCCGGAACUGCCUUUAAGACUGCAUCGCUUGAAUCCGGGAGAGGUGAGUGGAAUUCCGAGUGUAGAGGUGAAAUUCGUAGAUAUUCGGAAGAACACCAGUGGCGAAGGCGGCUCACUGGACCGGUAUUGACGCUGAGGUGCGAAAGCGUGGGGAGCAAACAGG